AUCAAAAAAUGUUGAUGAUAUAAUGGUAAGUAAAAAACAAGACCACAAAUGAUGUUUGUUUCCCUGUGACCAUGAUAUCGCGUCAGUCUCAUGGGCCGGGAAAGUGCGAGCUCCGCGCACCAGCGCCCGCCGGCAGCGCCGCCCGCCCGCUCGCUCGUCCCACUCCAAACUUUUUUUUAUUUGUCUUUUAAUUGGUUGUUAUUCCUCCGAAUGAAUGAUCUCUCUCUUCUUUCCUAAAAGCAAACACAAACUCCUUUGGUUCGGAAGAGGUCUCGGCGGUGCUUUUUGGUUUCUCUGGAGAUUUUUUCACUUCACAGCAACGAUCUUUUAAAAGGCACCUUUUAGCUUCUUUUACCACAUCUCAUUUCCUUAUUUUUCUUCCUUCCUGUUUUCUUGUCUUUUUUUUUUUUAACCCCAAAUUGAAGGGGAUUAUAAAAAUAAAAGAGUGAAACGCUUGCGGCUUUUUUUUUUUUAAUUCUCUCUCCUUUCAAACUCUGCGAACACCACCUCAAAAUAAUAUACAAGUGUGUGAGAGAGGGGGAAGAAAGCAGCCAACAGCCCAAACACCCGCUCAGAACAGCUCUAACAACACGCUCUGUGUAGGUGACUUCUUUGACCAAAUUUAGCAGCAGCUAAUCAUUAACAUUCUGAUACAUAUUCACAACCGUCCGUGGAGGGACCGCGGAGCAUCCCGGGAGAUGUAGUCCACCCCAAGCGACCGCGGUCCAGGAUUCGGCCAGAUUGACUACAAUCUCCGGCCCGCCACGCGACCGCUCUGGGGCGCUCUCCAAGCGCCCCGCCCACCCCCGCCGCGGGAGGCGUCUCCGGCAGCCAAUCAGAGGCGGCUGAACAUUAAUCGCCGUUCUGUGUUACUGCCCAUCAUUUCACUGCUGACAAAUGGCGAGCCAGGGGGGCGGAGCCGGCCGGGCUGGAGCCCACGUGGGGGCCGGGCGUCGUCCGCGGUUCGGACCAAUGAACGGAACGGGAUGGGGUUAGCGGAGGCGGAGCGGAGAUGGCCCGCCCAAGGCGGAGCUUCGUCUUGGCCGCCGUUCCUUAGCGCGAGCGUUCGAACCGGGGAAACAUUUGUUCAGCUGUCAAUCAAAGUAACGUGGGCCUGGGAGAAGCGGCGGCGGCUGGUGGUGGUGGUGCUGCUGCUGCUGCUGCCGCUGCCGCCGCCGCCGCCGCUGCCACCGCCGCCGCCGCCGCCGCCGCUGCCCUGGCUGCAUCCUCAGAACUGGGUGUUGGUGGCGGUCCGUGGUGGCGGCAAAAUAAAGAGGGUGGAGGGGGCGAUCUACAUGACAAAGAGAAAGAUCUCCGAAAGAUGCCAAAGGAAGCAACCCCUCUCCCCGAAGAACACAGAAAGUGGGUGGGGCGAAUAGCUGCUUUUGUCUCGUCUGAUCUCUGCUAGCGCUUCUCUCUCUCUUUUUAAGUUUAUUUAAUUGUUUGUUUGUUUGUUUUUGUGAUUUCUACACCCAGCUUGGGGCCUGAACUCACCACCCAGAGGUCAAGAGUCACAUGUUCUCCCAGCUGAGCCAGCCAGGCACCCCUGUGCUUCUCUGUUUGCACUUUUCACAAACUGCUGAGCCAAGCUGUGAAGUCACCUUGUCUUAUCCCUACCACACAGUGGGGAGUUCCAGAAUUUUUAUGUGAGUGGGGCUCAGCAACAGCAGUCCUAGUGGAAGCUAGGCCUGGGGUUUCGAUCUUAAUGUGAUAUAUGCAAAGCAAGCACAUUAUUUUUUCUUAUAUGUUAUAAAUUAUGUAUUCUUCCACCAGGUGUUUAUUGAAAAAAAUGUUUUGACCUAACAUGUGCCAAGAUAAGGGAAUUUAGCAAUAAAUUACUGUUUUUGAUUUAUUGUCUCUGAGCU
rnacentral:lncRNA from 12 species